rnacentral:rRNA from 1 species
CCUACGGGUGGCAGCAGUGGGGAAUAUUGGACAAUGGGCGAAAGCCUGAUCCAGCCAUGCCGCGUGUGUGAAGAAGGCCUUCGGGUUGUAAAGCACUUUCAGUGGGGAAGAAAGCCUUGGGGCUAAUACCCUCGAGGAAGGACAUCACCCACAGAAGAAGCACCGGCUAACUCCGUGCCAGCAGCCGCGGUAAUACGGAGGGUGCGAGCGUUAAUCGGAAUUACUGGGCGUAAAGCGCGCGUAGGCGGUCUGAUAAGCCGGUUGUGAAAGCCCCGGGCUCAACCUGGGAACGGCAUCCGGAAAUGGCAGGGUAGAGGGCAGGAGAGGAAGGUAGAAUUCCCGGUGUAGCGGUGAAAUGCGUAGAGAUCGGGAGGAAUAACAGUGGCGAAGGCGGCCUUCUGGACUGACACUGACGCUGAGGUGCGAAAGCGUGGGUAGCAAACAGGAUUAGAUACCCCAGUAGUC